rnacentral:rRNA from 1 species
GAACUGUCCUAACGUUGUUCGGAAUCACUGGGCUUAAAGGGCGCGUAGGCGGUCCGACAAGUCAGGGGUGAAAUCCUGCAGCUUAACUGUAGAAGUGCCUCUGAUACUGUCGGUCUUGAGGGAGAUAGGGGUGUGCGGAACUUCCAGUGGAGCGGUGAAAUGCGUUGAUAUUGGAAGGAACGCCGGAGGCGAAAGCGGCGCACUGGAUCUCUACUGACGCUGAGGCGCGAAAGCCAGGGGAGCAAACGGGAUUAGAUACCCCGGUAGUCCUGGCCCUAAACCGGAUGAGUACUAGAUUGUAGACUGAUCAUGGGUUUACAGUCGAAGCAAAAGUGUUAAGUACUCCGCCUGGGGAGUAUGGUCGCAAGGCUG